UACGUAGGGGGCAAGCGUUGUCCGGAAUCAUUGGGCGUAAAGAGCGUGUAGGCGGCCAGAUAAGUCCGCUGUGAAAUCUCGAGGCUCAACUUCGAGCUGUCGGUGGAAACUGUCUGGCUAAAGUCCGGAAGAGGAGAAUGGAAUUCCUGGUGUAGCGGUGAAAUGCGCAGAUAUCAGGAAGAACACCCGUGGCGAAGGCGGUUCUCUGGGACGGUACUGACGCUGAGACGCGAAAGCGUGGGGAGCGAACAGG
rnacentral:rRNA from 1 species